UCAGAGUCUGAGUGAACCUGCUGUCAGACAGGUUGGCCUGAUUGACGAUGCCAUCGUCCAUCGCCGAUGGCUGAUAGACAUCACCAUGCUGCGCCGGCAAACAGCGUCAUCAGCUCCAGUAUCACGCCCGUGCAUCUGUUGUCAUGCGACAGUUGUGAACAUGCUGACAGCUGGUUGCCCAGGCUAUGGAUUAAAGGUAAUACUGUUGGCCAGAAGAGAAGGCCCUGCUGCCCCUGUCGGCCCACCGCUGCUGUCAGACAACAUCUCCAAG